CGGAGGGUGCAAGCGUUAUCCGGAUUCACUGGGUUUAAAGGGUGCGUAGGUGGGCAGGUAAGUCAGUGGUGAAAUCUCCGGGCUUAACUCGGAAACUGCCAUUGAUACUAUCUGUCUUGAAUACCGUGGAGGUCAGCGGAAUAUGUCAUGUAGCGGUGAAAUGCUUAGAUAUGACAUAGAACACCAAUUGCGAAGGCAGCUGGCUACACGAAUAUUGACACUGAUGCACGAAAGCGUGGGGGUCAAACAGGAUUAGAUACCCUGGUAGUCCACGCCCUAAACGAUGGAUACUCGACAUACGCGAUACACAGUGUGUGUCUGAGCGAAAGCAUUAAGUAUCCCACCUGGGAAGUACGAUCGCAAGAUUG
rnacentral:rRNA from 1 species